rnacentral:lncRNA from 1 species
UUACAUUUUAUGAUAAAAUCCUAGCAAUUAUAUAUUUUUUUAAUUUCUAAGCUAUAAAAUUAGAUAAUUUUACGACUUACAAAAUUCAAAAAUAUUUUUUCUAAAGUUAAUAAUUCUAAUUAUUUAUGUUUUCAAGUUUAGCACGGCAGAUUUGCCAACUGUAACACAAUAAACCUGUGACAUUUAUCUAACUAUUGAAACUAUAACUAUAGGUUUGGCUGUGUUAUUGCCACAACAAUGUCUUCACAUUUUUUUUGUUAUAAAUUUAAAUUUAAUUUGAUCAUUAAUUCAAAUUCAAACUUAAAUAAUUUAAUUUAUAAAAUGAAUUGAGUUUCGCAGGUGAAGGUGCAGGAUUUGCUUCUUCCCCAACUAGCGGCUUCUGUUAUUUUCACAUAAAUGUUAUAAUAAAUCCUAUCUCCCCCUAUCUCUACUUCUGCUAACGAACGCUAGAAUUGGGAUAUCGAGAAAGAAGGUAGACCGUAGAAGGUUCAACAAAGAAAAGCAAGAAAACGAUUUUCAACUGCAUCGUACCGGGAGGGGUCCGUACCUCCUUUAGAUAGAUAGGCCCCCGCCGCCCCGCUCUGAAGAAUUCAUGGGCCUAAGGCGGGCGAGACAAAAUGGGCGGGCACUACUAACCAAGCCAAGCCUAGUUCUCGCCGAUAAGCGCUGGUAGCUUGCUUCCAAGCCUUGCCUUAUAUAAUAGUUGUGGCCAUGGCCCGAAGGAGCCUUAAGCGCUUGUACAAUGCUCAAGUCAAGGCUCUGGGCAACGAGUAGGAUGGAGCCUUGACUUUCUAUUACGUUAGUAAUUUAUAAAUCUAAUUAAAUUUUUAUAUUUUAAGUAUAUAUUUUAAUUAAAAAAAUAUUAUUUU